GGACUACCGGGGUUUCUAAUCCUGUUUGCUCCCCACGCUUUCGCACCUAAGUGUCAGUAUUGGUCCAGAUAGCCGCUUUCGCCACUGGUGUUCCUUCCGAUAUCUACGCAUUUCACCGCUACACCGGAAAUUCCACUAUCCUCUACCAUACUCUAGACAUCCAGUAUCGGAAGCAAUUCCCAGGUUAAGCCCAGGGCUUUCACUUCCGACUUAAAUACCCACCUACGUGCGCUUUACGCCCAGUAAUUCCGAUUAACGCUUGCACCCUCUGUAUUACCGCGGCUGCUGGCAC
rnacentral:rRNA from 1 species